UCCUUGGUCACAUUUAGAGGAAGUAAAAGUCGUAACAAGGUUUCCGUAGAACAAGUCUUGCAGGAAUGAUUCCUUCCGCAGUGUACACUUGUAGAAGCCUUUGCAGCCACGCAAGUGGUAGAUCCGAGCGACUUUAAAUAAUUUCAGGGUCGCUAUGCAAGUCGGUCCACGCAUGUGGUGCCGGCGACACUUUCGAAUUGACGGGGACACCCUAAAGCCUGUCGCACCAACUCUUGUGGGAAACCGCUUGAGGGCCCGUGCUAACUACACGGGGUGGUAACAGACGACAUGGAUACUUUCACGCCUUUGGUGUGGAUACUAUGGGCAAUCCGCAGCGAAGCCUCUAAGUCCAACCGCCGGAUAUGAGGAACGUUCACAGACUAAGUGGAAGUGGGUGGAGCGUUUGCCGCUCUGCUUAAGAUAUAGUCGGUCCCCUCAGGAAACUAAGGGGGUGAGUACACUGCUUGAAAUUUAAACAUGAACGUGCGUAAUUAUUUACGCCAGCAGCGCACCUUCCCUAAAUCUUUAAGAGUUAAGAAGGUGCGCUCCUCUCUCCGCGGUCUCGGAGGGCGCUCAUGUUGGAAUUUCGAGACUGUCGAUUGCCUCGCGGUCUGACAGCUCUCAAAAACGUUCCGUAGGUGAACCUGCGGAAGGAUCAUUAUAGAAAAGCAAACGCGGGUCAAACCGCGAACUUUUAAACCUUUGAGAAUCGACCUGCGUUGCCUCGGCGGGUCCGCCCGCCGGAGGACAAACUCAAAACUCCUGUUUUAACGGUGUUGUCUGAGCUACAAGCAACGAAUCAAAACUUUCAACAACGGAUCUCUUGGUUCUGGCAUCGAUGAAGAACGCAGCGAAAUGCGAUAAGUAGUGUGAAUUGCAGAAUUCAGUGAAUCAUCGAAUCUUUGAACGCACAUUGCGCCCCUUGGUAUCCCGAGGGGCAUGCCUGUUCGAGCGUCAUUUCACCACUCAAGCACGGCUUGGUGUUGGGCGACGUCCCCUCCUCGGGGACGCGCCUCGAAACGCUCGGCGGCGUGGCACCGGCUUUAAGCGUAGCAGAAUCUUUCGCUUUGGAAGUCGGGGCCCCGUCUGCCGGAAGACCUACCUUCAAGGUUGACCUCGGAUCAGGCAGGGAUACCCGCUGAACUUAAGCAUAUCAAUAAGCGGAGGAA
rnacentral:misc_RNA from 1 species